AAAUAUUAGCUCCCACUGGUGUGGGCAGCCACUCAGGGAGCAGUAUAUUUUCCUCAGCGGGUGACAAGACCACAUAGGAGCACCGUGGAGGCGUGGAGGCCAAGAGAAGGUGAUCUGUAAAAGCGAAGCUUAGGAGGACGGGAAGUGCGGGAGCCAGCUCGGAGGCGGCUGCAGGCCUCCUAAUUAAUCACGACGCCUCACACGCAGACAGGAAAUAGAUUUGAAGAACCCAAAUGGCGAGGAAGAAGAAUGGUGGGCAAUGGCGUUUGAAUUCAUCACAGUGUGUUUAUGCGUCGCUCACUUUGAAAAUUGUAACCUGAAGCUACGCUGAUAACGCAACGGAAUUUGGAGUAUUUUUGAGGUCAUGGGUUUUCAUUUAAUUUGUUUCAUUAUCGCGGGUUUAACACUUGCUACAUUUGGUCCUUGAGGGACUUGGUUGAAAUGAGCUGUUUACUAAUGAAACAAGCAUUACCAUUCCUAAGUGUAUUGGCUUUUCAUAUAAUUAACCGCUAAAGUUGAAGAAACUCCGAUUUGGAGCCAUUUGUCUCAUAGGAAAUGGAAUUCAUCCGUAACAGGGUCAGGGUACACCCACCAGAAAGCCUUUCCCAACCAGGGAGGAAACGGGGACGUAAUGUUGUUCCAUGACCAAGAUUGAAGCUCCAUUUACUCGUACAUCAAAUCAAAUUUCCCCCUUGAAAGCAAUUAAAAUUAGAGGUGCAGCAAUGAAUCGGUAACGAAUUGAUUAUCAAGUAACAUUUUGUGAUAAUCAUUUAGUGAUCUUGUUUAACUUAAAAUUGUCUAAUUGUAUUGAUUCUAGAAUCAAAAGCAGACAGAUUUGUGGUUCUUCAAAAUGAGACACAAUAAUUAACAUUUUUGCCUAGUUUGGGACGUUAUUAUAAAUGUGCAAUUCCAUGAUUUUCAAAAUUUUUGGACUGCGCCAGCCUUUUUGGAGCUUAACUUUUUCUGAACAGUGAAAAUCGGAAACCAGGGGGGGGAUAACCCAGGACCCUGAGUUUGAAAACCACCGGUAUAAUUGAAUUAUCACUUUGAGCAUUUCUGUACUUUAAUUUUUAAAAAACCUGAUUCAUUAACUAAUCGACAAAAAAAAUGGAUUGAUUAAUUGAUUACAUUGGGGAACACAUUUUGUUGAGUUAAGUCUGACAGCUGUUUUUAACUCAUUUUUGGCUGCGAAUCCACAACUGACUUCAGUAUUUCUCUAUCAUGUCACAUGUUUGAACUAAAGAGCCUUGUUUUUCUUAAAAAAAAACUGUAUUUAAAAGAUAUGCUUGGUUUUUUUUUUUUUAACUUUUCAAAUAAAUGACAGGUGGCACAGUG